UGAUAUUGAAACAGAGAGCAGAGAAGUCACAGUGUGGAAUAUAUUUCUCAAGUCCAGAAAUUCUGUCUUACUUUCUCUAAACAACUUUGCGUGCACAAUUAACUGCUAGCAUUGUGGCUAAUUGUGACUAAUUGCAAGAUAGGCUAAUUGUGACCCAAAGGAGCCGUUUUCUCCCCUGUAAAGAACAAGCUGCCUACUUCAUAUGCAAAUAGCAGAGGAGAUCCAUAAAUUACUUGUGCUCACACAACUGCACAUAUACAUAGACCAAGGUAAUUUACUCUCCCCAGCUAAAGCAUCUUGAUCAUUCACACUAUGAAGAUGUAAUGAGGAGACAUCACCAAGUACUCAGCGAGAUCUCCCACCCAGGAUUACUCUCAGCAAGAUAUGUAGAAGGCACUGCAUUCAAGGUUCAGAUUGUUGAACCCAGAAUUUAGUCCUGGAGUUCAAGGUUCUGCAACUAAAUCCUCUGAGGACAUCCAAGGAUAACCAGGAAAUCGGAAACUUACGCUGGUAAUAGCCUACUAUUCAACCUCUAAAGAGACAGACUUCCAAGCCAAGGUGCUAAUUUGGUAUCAGACUACAGGCGAUCCAACUGGUCAAGAGCCAGUGCUGGGGUGUGGCCUCCGAGCGCUACAUUAAUACAGAGGAAACCCUUCAACCUGAAUAUUAUUUGGUAAGCAAGUAACAAGAGCACAGGAAGUUAGAAUUUGCUCACAGUAUCGGGACCCAAGAACCUUCUCUUUUCCCUCUGGAGGUUCAAGAUUUGAGUCUGAGAAAUAAAUGGGCAGAAGACACAAGAAGACACACAUGUUUCCUACAUGUGCGGGGGCACUGCAGGAAGGCACCUCUGUAGAACUAAUGCGCUGCUGGCUUGGGAAUCCACAUUUCUGAGCUGACUCUUACACAUACCACUGGGCUGUGUGAUCUUUGAUAAACCUCUCACCUCACUGGCUCCGUUUUCCCCACCAAUAACAUGAGUCUAGGAAAGGAGUCCACAAAUCUGCACUCACCCACCUCACAAUGAAAAUGCGGGACAGCGUAGAAAAGCUCCUGGCUUUCUGCCAGGCCUUGCAGAAGCACCAAGUGGCCGUGGUUCCUGAACUUCCCAGUGUGAGCUCUCAGUAUUUCCACUCCUUGAAGGCGUGAGGUUGCUUGGCCUCACAAUGACUGCAAAGAAAACCUGUUCCUCUCCUCACAACACUCUGGCACCAGACAUGUGGGUUUCCCUCACGGAGGAAUCCUCCAGUGCUCUGAAGACAUGGAUGAGGUGUCCCACGGUUUAAUUUAGUGCUGACAGCCCUGAGAUAGCACAGCUCACACAGGUUAAGGACUCCGUCCCACAGACUGCCAUCAACUGCAAGUUAGUGAGUCCCCCAGUUACCCACAUUUCUGCCCAACGUGGCUACAAUUCACGGGUGCCCAUGAUGCCCAUGAUCUCCUCCUCAGACUCAAUAAUUCUCCAGAACAGCCCACAGAACUCAGGGAAACACUUUGCCUACUGCCAUCCAUUUAUUAUAGAGAAUAUUACAAGGGACACAAUGAAGACCCUGAUCCAGAAUAAGAAGAGGGUCCCAAGCAUAGGAGCCUCUGUCCCCAGGGAGUUAGGGUGCACCACCCUGUGUUCACCACCCCAGGAGCUCCCCAAAAUUGUUCAGGGAUUUUACAGAGGCUCCGCUCCACAAACAUGAUUGACUGAAUCACCGAUCGUUGGCAAUUAACCUGAUUUGCAGUCCUCUCUCCUCUAAGGUCUGGGAGUAGGACUGAAAGUUCCAGCACUCUAAUCACAUGCUUGCUCCUCUGGCAACCAUAUCCCCCACCCUGAGCUAUCUAGGGGCUCCAGGGCACCAGCAUCACAUUAGCAUAAAAAGACAUCACUCUGAAGAUUUCCAGCGUCUUAGACAGUCUCGUGUCAGGACCCAAGGCCAGAGACCAGCAUCUGCCUCUUCCUCUGUCCCUCGGGUCCCAAAGGCACAGGGAAGGGUGGGGGGAGUGGGCCUGACUCAACAGUGCACGGCUGCCUCUCUCAACCCACCCCGGGGCUUCCUGGGAAGCGGAGGACGCUUCCUGCUCUCCUCGUACGCAGCAUGCUAUGCUUCCGGUUUGCCCCGCACUCCCAGAACUUGGGCAUGCUCUUACAAGGUCAUCCUUUCCAGCUUCCCUCAGAACAGAUUCAGAACUCGUGCCCACAGAGGUUUGCCCACUUCCUCUCCGUGUGAGAGCCGACGGUGACGCACCCACUUGGCUCCUUGCUCGUGGCCUCUGGGCACAUUUGAACACAGAGAGAUGGUUUAAAAGUCUGGAAGCAAAGGUGCUAUGUCCCACUCCAGCACCCAGCACUGAUCACACCCAGGGAAGAAAACUCAUCGAUCUGUUGCUUCACAGCACUGUUAAACUGCUGGAGAAGUGGAGGGAGCUUUGAGUAUACGACACCAAGCAUUCCCAUUGGCCCAUUUCCAGGCCCUUGCUCUAGCCCCAAUAAAAAGAUUUUUUAAAGAAAAAAAUUAGGAGUAAACCAUGGUCACCCUUUUAGGAUACUGGUUUACCAAGCCUCUCUGAGCUUGGCGGAAUCCUUAUUCAGGUCCAAAUAAUCGUAAGCACACUCACAUGGGGAGGGGAACAACGGAUGGUAGAGAAAAGAAGGAAAAGUGGAAACAAAGCUUUGUAAAUGGGAAAGUGGGGAAGGGCUGAAGGGAGGAAGGGGAAUGAAAACAAAAGAAUCAAGUAAAAUCUGAUUGAAGAAAAAAAGAGAAAUUAGAUGUAAACUGGGAAUGGUGGUGAGUUGUGGCGACCCUCCUGCCUCAGCCUUCUGAGUUCUGGGAUUACAGGUGUGCUCCCGAUCUCAAAAAAAAUUUUUUUAAGAAAAAAAUUAGGAGUAAACCAUGGUGACCCUUUAGGAUAUUGGUGGAAUUACAGUCUGUAUUAUCUGAUGAAUUGAUUUCUUGCCUAUGAAAAAUAACACUUAUAUGUUUCACAUCAAAUGCCCCGAGCUGAUUACAAAAGCUUCAAAGUAAGGCACUUUUCAAAAAGUUACAAUAUUAAAGCUCAAAUGAUUUUGCCUCAA